rnacentral:lncRNA from 1 species
CCCCCUCUCCCUCUCCCAUCUCCAUUGCACACCCACGAGUUGGGUAUCCCCAUUUUCAUAACCUUGCAGUAGUUAGGCAACCUUGUUUUGUGCCAAGAAAGGAGGAAAGCAUGAUCUCAAGCAUUGAGAUUAUUGGGUAUAAAAUACCCCCAGCCAAAAUUUUGUAAAAGACCGACCCUUCCAGGACUUUUCCAGCUUUCGA